UACGUAGGGUGCAAGCGUUGUCCGGAAUUAUUGGGCGUAAAGAGCUCGUAGGCGGUCUGUUGCGUCGGCUGUGAAAACCCGGGGCUCAACCCCGGGCCUGCAGCCGAUACGGGCAGACUAGAGUUCGGCAGGGGAGACUGGAAUUCCUGGUGUAGCGGUGAAAUGCGCAGAUAUCAGGAGGAACACCGGUGGCGAAGGCGGGUCUCUGGACGAUGACUGACGCUGAGACGCGAAAGCGUGGGGAGCAAACAGG
rnacentral:rRNA from 1 species